GUGGGGAAUAUUGGGCAAUGGGCGAAAGCCUGACCCAGCAACGCUGCGUGAAGGAAGAAGGUCUUCGGAUCGUAAACUUCUAUCCUUGGUGAAGAUAAUGACGGUAGCCGAGAAGGAAGCCCCGGCUAACUACGUGCCAGCAGCCGCGGUAAUACGUAGGGGGCAAGCGUUGUCCGGAAUGAUUGGGCGUAAAGGGCGCGUAGGCGGCCUGGUAAGUCUGGAGUGAAAGUCCUGCUUUUAAGGUGGGAAUUGCUUUGGAUACUGUCGGGCUUGAGUGCAGGAGAGGUAAGUGGAAUUCCCGGUGUAGCGGUGAAAUGCGUAGAGAUCGGGAGGAACACCAGUGGCGAAGGCGACUUACUGGACUGUAACUGACGCUGAGGCGCGAAAGUGUGGGGAGCAAACGGGAUUAGAUACCCGUGUAGUCC
rnacentral:rRNA from 1 species